UCUCCGUUGGUGAACCAGCGGAGGGAUCAUUACCGAGUUUACAACUCCCAAACCCCUAUGUGAACGUUACCAAACUGUUGCCUCGGCGGGAAAUUCAUGCCCCGGGCGCGUCGCAGCCCCGGACCAAGGUGCCCGCCGGAGGACCAGCCAAAACUCUUUUGUAUGUCCCUCGCGGACUUUUAUAAUUCUGAACCAUCUCGGCGCCCCUAGCGGGCGUUUCGAAAAUGAAUCAAAACUUUCAACAACGGAUCUCUUGGUUCUG
rnacentral:misc_RNA from 1 species